UCUUUUUUCUAAUUUUUUUUUUUCUGUUUAGUUUAAGGUUUGUCUUCGUGUGGUCUUUCAAUGGGAUAUGGUCUUGUUUGUGCAGGGGUUCUGGAAUUUUAACAUGAACAGUCGAGUGGCCGGAGCUAGUUGUUUUGGUGGAGCCAACAAAGAGGUUGAUUCCAGAUCUGUUAGAGAUGUGAUGCAGUUUGAGGCUGGUGUUAAUCGAGGGUGACUUAGUCUAGUGGCAAGUUAUAAGUUCACUGAUGGACAUGCACCAUCACACCAGGGAUCGAGUCGCGCUCCCUACAUAUUUGUAAGGAUUAGGCUAAUGGGUUGGCCAGUUGUGGCCCAUUGUUGACCAAAAAAAAACUAGGUGGUAACUGGUGUUUAUUGGCGUUGUAGACUUGUAAUCGUCAACGUCGUAUCUGGAAGCGAAAUGUACGUAUUUGUUCUCCAUUUAUCUGUCUUGCUUGGCGGAUCACGAAGUCUUGAUUCCUAGUUUCGAGAUUUUGGCUCUCAUUGUGAUAAGAGGAGGUAGAAGUUAUCAUUUUUGGAUUGGCCAUAUACAUUCUUGGUAAAUCUCAUUCAAUGGUUUUUUGCUAAGAAGAGGUCUUUUUGCUUUCUUAGAUUCUAUUAGCUUUUCAGUUUAAAGUCGUGUUGCUUUUGUGAGUGUUAGGUUUUGAUCGCUAGCUUUUCUUGUUUUAAUUAUAUGUGCUGUAUUUCUAUAUUGUAUUUCUCUUUUGUAUGGUCUUAGCUUCUAGGGGGAUAUUGUCUUCCUCCGCCUUUGUCUCCUCUCUAUUACCCAAAAAAAAAACUCCGAAGGGAUUGAGGAGUUAUUAUACUGUAAUAAAACAAAGAUUAGAAUUACGUUACAAUAACUUUUA